rnacentral:misc_RNA from 1 species
GAUGAAGAACGCAGCAAAAUGCGAUACUUGGUGUGAAUUGCAGAAUCCCGUGAACCAUCGAGUUUUUGAACGCAAGUUGCGCCCGAAGCCUUUUGGCCGAGGGCACGUCUGCCUGGGCGUCACGCAUCGCGUCGCCCCCCACAAUUCUCCGUAAAGGGAACGUGUGUUUCGGGGGCGGAUAUUGGUCUCCCGUGCUCAUGGCGUGGUUGGCCGAAAUAGGAGUCCUUUCGAUGGACGCACGAACUAGUGGUGGUCGUAAAAACCCUCGUCUUUUGUUUCGUGCUGUUGCUCGCAAGGUAAACUCUUUAAAAACCCCAAUGUGUCGUCUCUUGACGACGCUUCGACCGCGACCCCAGGUCAGGCGGGACUACCCGCUGAGUUUAAGCAUAUCAAUAAGCGGAGGA